GUCCCCAUAGUUCAACGGAUAGAACAGUCCCGUCCUAAGGGAUAGAUGUAUGUUCGAUUCAUACUGGGGACACAA
rnacentral:tRNA from 3 species